GAUGAACGCUGGCGGCGUGCCUAAUACAUGCAAGUAGAACGCUGAAGGAGGAGCUUGCUCUUCUGGAUGAGUUGCGAACGGGUGAGUAACGCGUAGGUAACCUGCCUGGUAGCGGGGGAUAACUAUUGGAAACGAUAGCUAAUACCGCAUGACAACAGUUAUUGCAUGAUAACUGUUUAAAAGGGGCAACUGCUCCACUACCAGAUGGACCUGCGUUGUAUUAGCUAGUUGGUGAGGUAACGGCUCACCAAGGCGACGAUACAUAGCCGACCUGAGAGGGUGAUCGGCCACACUGGGACUGAGACACGGCCCAGACUCCUACGGGAGGCAGCAGUAGGGAAUCUUCGGCAAUGGACGGAAGUCUGACCGAGCAACGCCGCGUGAGUGAAGAAGAUUUUCGGAUCGUAAAGCUCUGUUGUAAGAGAAGAACGAGUGUGAGAGUGGAAAGUUCACACUGUGACGGUAGCUUACCAGAAAGGGACGGCUAACUACGUG
rnacentral:rRNA from 1 species